rnacentral:lncRNA from 1 species
AAAAAAUUAUAAAUUAAUACACAUGAUGAUGAAUCAUUCUGAAUAAUUAACAUUUAAAUACCUGAUCGGCCUGAGAAGCAAGAAUGAAAGGAUCAUAAUAUUGCAGCUUUCGCCUCGAAUUUACUGAUGUAACACCAAAUGCAUCUGUUCUCACACCUCGAUCUGGAGUGUUGUCGUGCCAAUCACAAUAGAAAACAGUACAGCGC